rnacentral:rRNA from 1 species
ACCCGCUGAACUUAAGCAUAUCAGUAAGCGGAGGAAAAGAAAACAACUGUGAUUCCCAUAGUAACUGCGAGUGAAGUGGGAAAAGCCCAACGUUUAAUCUUCCUGGACUAUGGACAGGGCGACAUGUAACGGUAUGGAUAGGUCUACUACUAAUAAAUAUUUGAUUAAAGUACUCCGGAUUGAGAUGCCAUAGAAGGUGAUAGCCCUGUGUAUAAUCAAAUAUAUGAUUAGGUAUGUAACCAAUUCCUAGAGUCGGGUUGUUUGGGAUUGCAACCUCAAGUAGGUGGUAAACUCCAUCUAAGGCUAAAUACAGACACGAAACCGAUAGCGAACAAGUACUGUGAGGGAAAGUUGAAAAGAACUCUGAAAAGAGAGUUAAAAGUACGUGAAACCGCUCACGGGGAAGCGGAAGGCAGUGUCGUGAUCUUGUAAGUGAGUUAACAUAAUAUUGAAUUGAAUAUAAUAUGAUAUGAAUAUUAUUUCAUUUAAUAUUAUGUUAAUAAGCUAUACUUGAUGCGUCAAAUCUAUUGGUGAUUAACAUAUGAUUCAAUAAAUCUUAUCUGUUAUGCUUUGGUAUAAUAGUGUGGCAUUAUUGACACCUAUUAACAUUUGUUUUUAGGCUCAAUGAUGCAUGGAUUUAUCCAUCAUAUACACUAAUAUGUAAUGUAAUGAAGCGUUAGUGGCAUAUAUUUAUAUAUGUGUCGGUUAAUUCUUAUACAAUUUAUAUGUAUUAUUUAUAUUUUAAUUAUACAUGUAUAUAUUGUGUUUGAUAUUAAUAGCUAAUGCUAGUAUUUGACGAGAUACCUAACUUUCCGACCCGUCUUGAAACACGGACCAAGGAGGCAGAAUCUAGAGCAAGUUGGAGGGUGGAUAAAACCCGACGGCAUAGUGAAAGCAAUAGAUGAGAUCUAUUAAUUUCGAUUAAUAGCGCAUCAUCGGCCAGUCUUCAUUUUUAUAAUGUUGAUUGAGUUUGAGCUCUAGAUGCUGGACCCGAAAGAUGGUGAACUAUACGUGAGCAGGGUGAAGCCAGAGGAAACUCUGGUGGAGGCUAAAAGCGAUCCUGACGUGCUAAAUCGAUCGUAUAGACUUGCGUAUAGGGGCGAUAGACUAAUCGAACCAUCUAGUAGCUGGUUCCCUUCGAAAUAUCCCUCAGGAUCGCUGAGACAGGUGUGGUAACAGUUUCAUCGGGUAGAGCGAAUGAUUAGAGGAAUCGGGGAUAUAUUACUCUCGACCUAUUCUCAAACUACCAACCGGUGAGUAUAUACUAUUUGUAUAAACUUAAUUGAAAUAGUAUAAAUGAAUGUUACUGUCUCAAGUGGGCCAUUUUUGGUAAGCAGAACUGGCGAUGCGGGAUGAACCGAGAGUUAAGCUAAGGUGCCUAAGAACACGCUGAUAGAUACCACAAAAGGAGUCGGUCGAUAAAGACAGCAGGGCGGUGGCCCUGAAAGUAGGAAUCCGCUAAGGAGUGUCUAACAACUCACCUGCCGAAUCGACCGGCCCUGAAAAUGGAUGGCGCUUAAACGUGUCACCGAUGCUUAACCUUUACUACUAGAAAUGUCAUAGUAAAGGGUAGAAGGGCGUAAUGGUAGCAAUAAAGUAUAAAGUGUAAACUUAUAUGGAGCUGCCAUUAGUGUAGAUCUUGGUGGUAGUAGCAAUUAUAAAAGUGAGUAAAAACCUUUUAGGCCGAAGUGGAGAAGGGUUCCACGUGAACAGCAGUUGGACGUGGGUUAGUCGUCCUAAGCGGUUGCCUAACGGCUAUUACAAUGUUGACUUGUUUCGUUCUAUUAACGUAUAAUGGUAAAUAGGUCAAAUUCCGCGAAAGGGAAUCAGGUUAAUAUUCCUGAACCAAGCGUUGGAGAUAUAACUAUAUAAUAUAUAUUGUAGCUAUAUUUAUUAUAUUGUGAUAUAUAUUAUUAGUUAUUUAGCGGUAACGCAAACAAUCUCGGAGACAUUGACAUCUAUGGUGGAGAGAAUUAUCUUUUCUGUAUAACAGGUCAAAUUUCAUACCUUGGAAUCGAGUCAUUCGGAGAUAAGGUAAAAAACCUGGAAGAACAUAGCAUCUAUUGCUAUGUCCGCAGUAUAGUUGUCAAUCCUUGAAAAUCCGAGGGAGUGGUUGAAUUUCACGCUUGUCCGUACCGAAUCCGCAUCAGGUCUCCUAGGUGUGCAGCCUCUGGCACUGGAACAAUGUAGGUAAGGGAAGUCGGCGAAAUGGAUCCGUAACUUUGGGAAAAGGAUUGGCUCUAAGGAUCGGGUCAAACGAGCUAGUAUUGCCUAAGUUAGUGGGGGUUGAACGGGAUAUAUAUUGUGUUAAUUCAUAAUAUAUAUUUGGUGAAACAAACGCUGGCCAUGGAAUGCAUGUGUGAAUUUUUUAAUUAAUUGAUAUUGUAAUUGAUUUAUUAUGUGUAUUAAUUUGUACGUAAUAAAUGGAUAUAUGUAUCAAUUAAUGAAAUUCUUUACGAGUGACAAUCAUCGAUCUACUUAGAACUGUUACUAACAUGGGGAAUCCGACUGUUUAAUUAAAACAAAGCAUUGCGAUGGCCUUAACGGGUGUUGACGCAAUGUGAUUUCUGCCCAGUGCUCUGAAUGUCAAAGUGCGGAAACGCAACCAAGCCCGGGUAAACGGCGGGAGUAACUAUGACUCUUGUAAGGUAGCCAAAUGCCUCGUCAUCUAAUUAGUGACGCGCAUGAAUGGAUCAACGAGGUUCCCACUGUCCCUACCUACCAUCCAGCGAAACCACAGUCAAGGGAACGGGCUUGACUGAGACAGCGGGGAAAGAAGACCCUGUUGAGCUUGACUCUAGUUUGAUUUUGUGAGAAGACAUGAGGGGUGUAGAAUAAGUGGGAGAUUAUAUUUAUUUAUAUAAUCGAUAGUGAAAUACCACUACCUUCAUUGUUUUCACACUAAGUCGGUAACACGGGAAAUAUCUAUUAUUACUUACAUUAAUAAGUAUAAUAGGUGGAUUCGUGGAUAUAAAACAGAUAUGUUCUGUUAACCCAUCACCGAUGACAUAAUCAGAUGGGGAGUUUGACUGGGGCGGUACAUCCUUAAAAAUGCAACGAGGGUGUCCAAAGGCGAGCUCACCGUGGACAGAAACCACGGGUAGAGUAAAAGGGCAAAAGCUCGCUUGAUUCCGAUUUUCAGUACGAAUACGAACCACGAAAGUGUGGCCUAUCGAUCCCUUGAUCAUCCAGAGUUUGGAGACAGGGGUGUCAGAAAAGUUACCACAGGGAUAACUGGCUUGUGGCGGCCAAGCGUCCAUAGCGACGUCGCUUUUUGAUCCUUCGAUGUCGGCUCUUCCUAUCAUUGGGUAGCAGCAUACUCAAAGUGUUGGAUUGUUCACCCACCAACAGGGAAACGUGAGCUGGGUUUAGAC